GGCGGUUCUCAGGUGAUGCACCCCGGAAUUGGACUCACCCCGGAAUUGGACUCACUCCUCUCUGGUUCUGGGUGCAUCAUCCGAGAAUCGUA
rfam:Myotis lucifugus cont2.41371, whole genome shotgun sequence.